AACGAACGCUGGCGGCAGGCCUAAUACAUGCAAGUCGAACGCACCGCAAGGUGAGUGGCAGACGGGUGAGUAACGCGUGGGAACCUUCCUAGUAGUACGGAAUAACUCCGGGAAACCGGUGCUAAUACCGUAUAAGCCCUCCGGGGGAAAGAUUUAUCGCUACUAGAUGGGCCCGCGUCGGAUUAGCUUGUUGGUGAGGUAAUGGCUCACCAAGGCUUCGAUCCGUAGCUGGUCUGAGAGGAUGAUCAGCCACACUGGGACUGAGACACGGCCCAGACUCCUACGGGAGGCAGCAGUGGGGAAUAUUGGACAAU
rnacentral:rRNA from 1 species